AGUUCGGAUUGCAGGCUGCAACCCGCCUGCAUGAAGUUGGAAUUGCUAGUAAUCGCGGAUCAGCAUGCCGCGGUGAAUACGUUCCCUGGCCUUGUACACACCGCCCGUCACACCAUGGGAGCCGGUAAUACCCGAAGUCAGUAGCCUAACCGCAAGGGGGGCGCUGCCGAAGGUAGGAUUGGCGACUGGGGUGAAGUCGUAACAAGGUAAC
rnacentral:rRNA from 1 species